rnacentral:rRNA from 1 species
GGAUUAGUGGCGAACGGGUGAGUAACACGUGGGCAAUCUGCCCUGCACUCUGGGACAAGCCCUGGAAACGGGGUCUAAUACCGGAUACUGAUCCUCGCAGGCAUCUGCGAGGUUCGAAAGCUCCGGCGGUGCAGGAUGAGCCCGCGGCCUAUCAGCUAGUUGGUGAGGUAACGGCUCACCAAGGCGACGACGGGUAGCCGGCCUGAGAGGGCGACCGGCCACACUGGGACUGAGACACGGCCCAGACUCCUACGGGAGGCAGCAGUGGGGAAUAUUGCACAAUGGGCGAAAGCCUGAUGCAGCGACGCCGCGUGAGGGAUGACGGCCUUCGGGUUGUAAACCUCUUUCAGCAGGGAAGAAGCGAAAGUGACGGUACCUGCAGAAGAAGCGCCGGCUAACUACGUGCCAGCAGCCGCGGUAAUACGUAGGGCGCAAGCGUUGUCCGGAAUUAUUGGGCGUAAAGAGCUCGUAGGCGGCUUG